rnacentral:misc_RNA from 1 species
GGACGUUACAUCUUGGCAGCAUGCAGUGCAAUGCGACGGAUGUCAACGCUGGCAACACCGAUGCUGUUGUCAAGCCAGAUGGAAACUGCAUGAUCACCAACACCACCACCUUUACCGGGUCCCAUGUAAACAGCUCCUGCACGAUCGCCAACACCACCAUUAGACGUCCAAGAUGGUCCAGAUGACAUCGUUGGUGUUGGAAUCCCUUACGAAUGGAAUGAGCCUCUUGAGGAAGACAGCAUGGACAAUGACACUGUGGAUGGUGACCUCCCGAUGAAUGACGAGGUCACAUACGACCUUGUAGUGUCAUCCUCACAACGGCGGAAUCUACUCACAGACUCAAGGGGGUACAGCUACACCGUCAAGAAGGUUCGGGGUGAGAAGACGUACUGGAGAUGCGCCGUCCGUAACAAGACCAUCCAGUGCGGUGCGUCUGUGAUACAGACGGGAGACCACUUCGAAGCGGGGUCGGUCGAGCACAACCACCCUGGGAAGCCAGGGAACAACGUUGUGGCUCGCCUGAUCACCAAGGUGAAGGAUAGGGCCGUUGCCAUUACGUUCAGGUCAGCUACUGCAAUCACUAACGAAGCGAUUGGAGAAACAGUAUCGGACGCUCCCCUACCAGCUUUGCCAAAGCCCAUCAACCUAGCUCGCUAAGCAAAUCGUGCUCGGCAGAGGUUGAGACCGCAGGACCCCAACGACCUGGACUUUGAUUUCCAAGAAGACUUCAUUGAUGAGGAUUUCCUCCGCAAAGACAUCAGGCGGGGGAAGGAGAGACAUCUUGUUUUUGCAGCAAGGCACCAGUUGACAUUACUGGCCAGCAGCAAACGAUGGUAUGUGGAUGGAACAUUCAAGGUGGUGACCAAGCCAUUUUCACAGCCGUUCUCCAUUCACGCUUUCGUUAAGCGUGAUGGGGAGAUGAAACAGGUCCCUCUGUGUUUUGUCUUGAUGCUGUCGAGGCUGAGAUGAGAUUACAGGAUGUCCAAGUUGAGCAAUGCAUGCUCGACUUUGAGGUGUCAGCCUGGAAGGCCAUGCAGGAGGUAUUCCCGGAGGUCCAGUGCCAUGCAGGAUGUGUUCCACUGGAAACAAGCGGU